rnacentral:rRNA from 1 species
GACGUAGGGUCCGAGCGUUGUCCGGAGUUACUGGGCGUAAAGCGCGCGCAGGCGGCUCGUCGCAUCGGCGGUGAAAGCCCCCCGCUCAACGGGGGAGGGUCCGUCGAGAUGGGCGAGCUGGAGGCAGGGAGAGGCCAGUGGAAUUCCGGGUGUAGUGGUGGAAAUGCGUAGAGAUCCGGAGGAACACCAGUGGCGAAGGCGGCUGGCUGGACCUGACCUGACGCUGAGGCGCGAAGGCGGUGGGGAGCGAACGGGG